rfam:Culex pipiens quinquefasciatus supercont3.279 genomic scaffold, whole genome shotgun sequence.
GCAGGCUUGGCCGAAUGUUUAAGCUGCCCGCUUUGUAAGCGGAUUAUCAUGGGGUCGAUUCCCAUCUGCU